rnacentral:rRNA from 1 species
UACAGAGGGUGCGAGCGUUGUCCGGAAUCACUGGGCGAUAAAGGGCGCGUAGGUGGCGCGACAAGUCAGUGGUGAAAGUUCGACGCUCAACGUCGAAUCGGCCACUGAUACUGUUGGGCUUGAGCACUGUAGAGGCUAAUGGAAUUCCGGGUGUAGCGGUGGAAUGCGUAGAGAUCCGGAAGAACACCGGUGGCGAAGGCGGCCUGCUGGGCAGUAGCUGACGCUGAGGAGCGAAAGCGUGGGGAGCGAACAGG